UUCCUUUUCCCCCAAAUCGCCUCCCGAUCCACACACAACAAGAAGAUCUUCUCUACACUUCACUCCGAUCUACCGUCGCUGAUUUGACGCUCGUGUUCUCUGAGUUAUGGCCAGCGUAAAUCUUCCUUGCUGCAUUUAGUUCUCACGAUAUCGAACGGAUUAAGUUAUUGAACAACGAGGUGCUGCAGACGUGGACUUAUAACUGUUUGAAGAUCGUAUAUUAGGUGAUACCCUAGCCAUUGUUAAGGUGUAUAUUACAGCUGUAAUGGUCCCGGAGACCGCACUUAUCCUCCCAACUAAUGCUGGAGCAAAAAUUUUCGGUGAUGUACUCGACGGAGAUAAUAUCGAGUAGAUUUACCAGGAUUUGGUUCGCCGCCCGUGAUUGCAGCCUCCAUGAGUCUGCACUCGACUAGCUGGGUCAUUCAUAGUAGUGUUUAUGAGUUGCCCUUGAGAUCGUACUUCCGUAUGAUAUCAGAUUUAUCUAUUUAUGUAUUACUUUUUGGUUUUUCGUAUCGUUAUUUAGUAGGUUGUUAUGUUGGUGUACGGAUUGGUGUUUUGUUGGGAUGUUUUGUUAGCACCGUUGAUGACUAAUAUUUUAUUUUUGGCUGGACUAUGAACAUCAUUGUAUUGAUGACCAUGUGUACUAUUUUAAUGGAUUUGGAAACAA